UAAUCAGUCAAACGGCGCCGCCGCCACCUCUCCACAUGAAUUCCACUUUAAAUUAACGAUUUUCGAUUUUCAAUAUUCUUCUUUCGCAUUUUCUGUCGGUGCAAGAGGAAUGGGAGAGGGACUCCGGCCUAGUAUUCCGUCACUCUCUCCCGAUCCAGAAGCAACGGGGACGUCGGGGAGAUUCCGGAGCGACUUGACAGAAUGGAUAGACGAGAAGCACAGUCUGUAUCUUGAAUCUCUAGAGGCAUAAUUUGUUGCCACGCUGCAGCGAUCCAUGCAUAUGGAUGCUUCGCACUCCAAAGCAAAUACCUGGGGAUCAUAUUCAGCUGAAGAACCUCGAUCCAAAACUUGCAAUUCUUCUGACCUGGUUCGGAAUCUGUGGUUCUACGAGAUGGCAGCUGGCAGAAGAUCAACUUUGAAAGAAAUGUUCCUGUGUUGGACAGCACUGCUGAUUCUCAGGUUGUUCUAAGAAGUCCAUGGAUACGCCAUUUUACAUCUUCAGGAAAGCGGCGCUGUAUCAUCAUGAUCUUUGAUUCUUUGGAGCAAAAUUUGGUUGGCAGCCCUAGAGAGGCUUCAGAUAAGAAUUUUGCGGAGGAAGACCAAGGAGAGAAGCUGUGCAUCCGCCAUCCAUGAUGAAAAGGUUGAAGAUAACUGCAGCUGCUGAUGCUGUAAGCAAUGAUCAAGUUGUGCCCACCAGAAAGUUUCAUGCAGCUGAUGCUUCCGACUGUCAAUAAUGCUCCCUCAGAGAGGGAAUGACAUGGACAUUGCGAACUGCAGUCAGAGCACCCCUUGAUAUCGUUGUCUGCCCACAAUCAUUAUUUUCUCUGGUGACUAUUUCUUAUAGAUGGUUGGUGCUGGGGUUAGUGAAGUUCGUUAGCUAUUGGAGAGAGAGACUUCGUCUUACCUAUUCUUUCUCAGAGCCUCCUUUCCUUCCCUGCUAAUUUCCUCAAUUUUGUGCACUGAAAAUUUAUUUCCUAGAGAAGUUCGAACUCCUAUUCGACCUAAAAAUCAGGAAAUGCAGUUGAUGCAUAUUGUAAAUGUAUUGAUUGGAAGGUUGAGAUCCUUAAUUCCUAGUAAGCAUGUGAACGAUGUAUAUUUUGGUAGUCCAUCAACGAAGUGAAUUCUGUUUUUCUUGGCAUUACAAAGACGAUCUAUGCUUUCAAAAAUCUCCCUCCAACUCGUAAUAUACAGCGUAUAUACUAUCUGCAAAGCUGAACGGAUUGCGCUGUGCUCACUCAGUUUUGUCAUUAUAUAUAUAUAUUCAAGGCGGUCGAAGUACAGUUUCUAUAAGCAGAGAUUGGUUUGCGUAAAGGGGAAUGAGCAUUACCCUUUUCAUUUCUCUCAUCAUUCUCCGUUCGUUCAUAGCUUGGCUAAAGUGCAUGGCUGCGGAGCUUUCUCGGAAAGGAGCUUAUGGAACGGUGUAUUUAGCAUAAUGAGGCUCUGUGCCUCCAAUCGACGUCAAAGCAUGUACCCUUCCAGCGUUUUCCGCUCUCCAGUUGGAGGAAAUUUUGGUCACCCGCUUGCGGGGCUGUCCUGGCAAUGUUGAGUGUGUUGGGAGCGACCUGAGUGUCGAGAUAAAAGCACCGGCUUGUGCCAUACCACGAAUCGUCCUUCAAACUACAAGUCACCGAUAAGGCGAUAACUGCAUCAAUUCAAGACAACAUUACAGAUACCAUAGACAUUUUUUCAGUCAAAAUGAUAUAGGUAUUGACAUGAAGAAACUUUACAAUUUCAUGCCGU